UACGUAGGGUGCAAGCGUUGUCCGGAAUUAUUGGGCGUAAAGAGCUCGUAGGCGGUUUGUUGCGUCGGCUGUGAAAUCCCGAGGCUCAACCUCGGGUCUGCAGUCGAUACGAGCAAACUAGAGUGUUGCAGGGGAGACUGGAAUUCCUGGUGUAGCGGUGAAAUGCGCAGAUAUCGAGGGAGGAACCACCGGUGGCGAAAGGCGGGGUCUCUGGGCAACAACUGACGCUGGAGGAGCGAAAGCGUGGGGAGCGAAACAGG
rnacentral:rRNA from 1 species